UACGGGGGGGGGCAAGCGUUGUUCGGAAUUACUGGGCGUAAAGGGCUCGUAGGCGGCCAACUAAGUCGGACGUGAAAUCCCCAGGCUCAACCUGGGAACUGCAUCCGAUACUGGAUGGCUUGAAUCCGGGAGAGGGAUGCGGAAUUCCAGGUGUAGCGGUGAAAUGCGUAGAUAUCUGGAGGAACACCGGUGGCGAAGGCGGCAUCCUGGACCGGCAUUGACGCUGAGGAGCGAAAGCCAGGGGAGCAAACGGGG
rnacentral:rRNA from 1 species